AAAUCCUUUCUCUUUCACUUCCCAAAUUUCAAUCAGAGUCUCUGGUUUUUCGUGCCCCUCGCUCUCUUUCUUUCUUUCUUUCUCUCUUAUCGUUCAAGGAUUAAAGAAUAAUAGAUCAAGACAGGUUACCUUAUAAAGGGAGCCGUCGAAGCGAAGCGAGAAAAGCGCGGAUAUCGGAAAGCUUAUGCAAAGGUGAAACAAAAGAUGCCGUGUUCCAUUCGGAGAAGCAAGAGCAAAAUUGAGAAAGUUGCCAAAGGAGGAAGUCGAUCUCUGUCAAGGACAUCUUUAGAACAGGGCAAACAAAAAGCUUUUUCAAAGGAUCGUGAAGUAUCUGAUUUCAUUCGGAAGAAUUCUGAUCAAAGGUAAUAUAUGAUUUGUGUAAUGUUUUUUUUGUUUGAUGCCUGGAACUCGGGUUGAUUUGUGAUAAGUUGGGUUGGUCUAUGGGAAGCGUAUAAUGUAGCUGAUUCUCUCUAUGCAUAA